rnacentral:rRNA from 1 species
GACGAACGCUGGCGGCGUGCCUAAUACAUGCAAGUAGAACGCUGAAGGAGGACCUUGCUUCUCUGGAUGAGUUGCGAACGGGUGAGUAACGCGUAGGUAACCUGCCUGGUAGCGGGGGAUAACUAUUGGAAACGAUAGCUAAUACCGCAUAAUAGCAGUUGUUGCAUGACAACUGUUUGAAAGGUGCAAUUGCACCACUACGAGAUGGACCUGCGUUGUAUUAGCUAGUUGGUGGGGUAACGGCUCACCAAGGCGACGAUACAUAGUCGACCUGAGAGGGUGAUCGGCGACACUAGAGGGGAGACGCGCCCAAGGCGCCUGCGGGAGGCAGCAGAAGGGAAUCUGCGGCAGUGGACGGAAGUCUGACCGAACAACGCCGCGUGUGAGAAGAAGAUGUUCGGAUCGUAAAGCUCUGUUGUAAGAGAAAAACGGGUGUGGGAGUUGAAGGUUCACACGGUGAGGGAAUGGUUCAAGAAAGGGAGGCUUAAUUACUU